GUGCUUGUACUUUGUUCAUUAGAAAUUACAGGUAUCAACACGUCUGGCGCUAAAUAAAGUUUUUGCCUCUCAAGUAUGGUUGCACUUCUAUUCAUAUGUGAUCAUUGUCCUUUCUUGAAAAACAGUGUUGCUUGAGGACUAUUUGUGCAUAUUUCAUGCAGGGAAUUUUUAGAAUUGUAUUAAUGGAGUCGUCCUUUUAAUCUUCUUAACUUUUCAUUUUCUAGGGAGAUAUGCUUCAAUAUGUUGAGGGUUCGGUCUCAAAAACUCUUAAGAUGCUUGAUCAACCUAGAUAAAUUGUGAAAACAUUAGUUGUGUAAUUUCCAUGACUACUUUACAAUGAUUGAUUUGUGAAUUGCAAGGAAGGAUAAUUUUACAA